CCUAUCAACUUUCGAUAGUACUUUCUGUGCCUACCAUGGUGACCACAGGUAACAGGGGAAUCAGGGUUGGAUUCCG
rnacentral:rRNA from 1 species